UCCUUCCUUAUCUGAAUAACAGCUUAUCAUGCUUUAAGACAAAUUCUUAUAAGGAGGCUUUUUGGAACUUUGAGUCUAGAUUAGAUGUUUCUCCUCUGUGCACCUAUUCAUUCACUCAUUCAUUCAUUCAUUCAUUUGUUCAUUCACAUACAACAUCCUUUUCUUACUCUUCUAUUUGCAUGUACUUGACAUGUGCCUCUGUGUUAUUUUUCUUGAUAGGACUUGAGAGCCACAGAACACGUCUCAUUUAUCUUCCUCUCUCCAGUACUAAUUUAGUGGUCAAUAGAACGGAUGUUCAUUGGUCAGUUACCUGCACUAAGGGAACCAGGGCAAAAGAGAUUCCCUUUUGGAUUCACCAAGGUGGAUUCUUCUUAACAAGCAAGUGGUGCAGUAUCACACCGAGAAGAUAUGCGGACUGAGCACAGCUUUUUGAUAACCUUUCAUCCAUCGAGAUUUUUCUUUCGAAAAGAGUGAGUUAUAAAACAGAUUUUAUUAUUUACCCAGGGUUAAAUUUUUUUAAUAAAAAUGUAUAAUUCUGAUAUAUCCUGUAGCA
rnacentral:lncRNA from 1 species